GACGAACGCUGGCGGCGUGCCUAAUACAUGCAAGUCGAACGCAGUGGGGACGGGUGAGUAACACGUGGGUAACCUCCCAACAGAGGGGAUAACACUGGGAAACAGGUGCUAAACCGAUACUGAUGGAUGGACCCGCGGUGCAUUUGCUAGGUGGUGAGGUAACGGCGCACAAAGGCCACGAGGCAUAGCCGCCCUUGUGUCGUGUUCGGCCCCACUGGUGCGGAGACAAGGCCCAGACUCCUACGGGAGGCAGCAGUGGGGAAUCUUCGGCAAUGGACGAAAGUCUUACCGCGCCACGCCGCAUGAGUGAAGACGGUUUUCGGGUCGUAGAACUCUUUUGUUAGAGAAGCGGUAUCUAACCAGAAAGCCACGGCUAACUACGUGCCAGCCGCCGCGGUAAUUC
rnacentral:rRNA from 1 species